rnacentral:rRNA from 1 species
AACACAUGCAAGUCGAACGCGAAAGUUUCUUCGGAAAUGAGUAGAGUGGCGCACGGGUGAGUAACACGUGGAUUAUCUACCUAUUGGUACGGGACAACAGUUGGAAACGACUGCUAAUACCGUAUAAGCUGGUAACGGGAAAGGGGGCCUCUUCUUGAAAGCUCUCGCCAGUAGAUGAGUCCGCGUUUCAUUAGCUAGACGGUGGGGUAACGGCCUACCGUGGCAACGAUGAAUAGCAGGCCUGAGAGGGUGGCCUGCCACACUGGGACUGGAACACGGCCCAGACUCCUACGGGAGGCAGCAGUGGGGAAUAUUGCGCAAUGGACGAAAGUCUGACGCAGCGACGCCGCGUGGAGGAUGAAGGUUUUCGGAUCGUAAACUCCUGUCAAGAGGGAAGAAACCUAUCAAAAAUAAUACUUUUGGUAAUUGACGGUACCUCUAGAGGAAGCACCGGCUAAUUCAGUGCCAGCAGCCGCGGUAAUACUGAAGGUGCAAGCGUUAAUCGGAAUCACUGGGCGUAAGCGCUCGUAGGUGGCUUUGUAAGUCAGGUGUGAAAGCCCAC